AACGAACGCUGGCGGCAUGCCUAACACAUGCAAGUCGAACGAGACCUUCGGGUCUAGUGGCGCACGGGUGCGUAACGCGUGGGAACCUGCCCUUAGGUUCGGAAUAACUCCCCGAAAGGGGUGCUAAUACCGGAUAAUGUCUUCGGACCAAAGAUUUAUCGCCUUUGGAUGGGCCCGCGUUGGAUUAGCCAGUUGGUAGGGUAAAAGCCUACCAAGGCGACGAUCCAUAGCUGGUCUGAGAGGAUGAUCAGCCACACUGAGACUGAGACACGGCCCAGACUCCUACGGGAGGCAGCAGUGGGGAAUAUUGGACAAUGGGCGAAGGCCUGAACCAGCAAUGCCGCGUGAGUGAUGAAGGCCUUAGGGUUGUAAAGCUCUUUUACCCGGGAUGAUAAUGACAGUACCGGGAGAAUAAGCUCCGGCUAACUCCGUG
rnacentral:rRNA from 1 species